CCUACGGGCGGCAGCAGUGGGGAAUAUUGGACAAUGGGGGGAACCCUGAUCCAGCCAUGCCGCGUGUGUGAAGAAGGCCCUCGGGUUGUAAAGCACUUUCAGUGAGGAAGAACGCCUGGUGGUUAAUACCCAUCAGGAAAGACAUCACUCACAGAAGAAGCACCGUCUAACUCCGUGCCAGCAGCCGCGGUAAUACGGAGGGGUGCGAGCGUUAAUCGGAAUUACUGUGCGUAAAGCGCGCGUAGGUGGCUUGAUAAGCCGGUUGUGAAAGCCCCGGGCUCAACCUGGGAACGGCAUCCGGAACUGUCAAGCUAGAGUGCAGGAGAGGAAGGUAGAAUUCCCGGUGUAGCGGUGAAAUGCGUAGAGAUCGGGAGGAAUACCAGUGGCGAAGGCGGCCUUCUGGACUGACACUGACACUGAGGUGCGAAAGCGUGGGUAGCAAACAGGAUUAGAUACCCCGGUAGUC
rnacentral:rRNA from 1 species